rnacentral:rRNA from 1 species
AUUCUUGGUCAUUUAGAGGAAGUAAAAGUCGUAACAAGGUUUCCGUAGGUGAACCUGCGGAAGGAUCAUUACUGAAUUGUCAACAAGAGUUGUUGCUGGUCCCCAAAUGGGGGCAUGUGCACGCUCUGUUAACACAUCCACUCACACCCUGUGCACCCUCUGUAGUUCUGUGGUUGGGGGGACCUGUCCUCUCCUGCUGUGGUUCUGCAUCUUUACAUACACACUGUAACAAAGUCUCAUGGAAUGCAUAUCGCGUUUAACGCAAUAAAAUACAACUUUCAGCAACGGAUCUCUUGGCUCUCGCAUCGAUGAAGAACGCAGCGAAAUGCGAUAAGUAAUGUGAAUUGCAGAAUUCAGUGAAUCAUCGAAUCUUUGAACGCACCUUGCGCCCUUUGGCAUUCCGAAGGGCAUGCCUGUUUGAGUAUCAUGAACACCUCAACUCUUCAUGGUUUUCCAUGAUGAGCUUGGACUUUGGGGGUCUUGCUGGCCUGUGGUCGGCUCCUCUCAAAUGAAUCAGCUUGCCAGUGUUUGGUGGGCAUCACAGGUGUGAUAACUAUCUACGCUUGUGGUUUUCCACCAGGUAACCUUCAGCAGUGGAGGUUCACUGGAGCUCACAGAUGUCUCUCCUCAGUGAGGACAGCCCUUUGAAUGUUUGAUCUCAAAUCAGGUAGGACUACCCGCUGAACUUAAGCAUAUCAAUAAGCGGAGG